UACAGAGGGUGCGAGCGUUGUCCGGAGUCACUGGGCGUAAAGGGCGCGUAGGCGGCCUGAUAAGUCGGGGGUGAAAUCCUGUGGCUCAACCACAGGGCUGCCUCCGGGACUGUCGGGCUCGAGCACAGUAGAGGCAGGUGGAAUUCCCGGUGUAGCGGUGGAAUGCGUAGAGAUCGGGAAGAACAUCGGUGGCGAAGGCGGCCUGCCGGGCUGUUGCUGACGCUGAGGCGCGACAGCGUGGGGAGCAAACAGG
rnacentral:rRNA from 1 species